AGAGUCCAUUGUUAUGAAACUGAAUGAAAAUAUCAGCUCUCACUGCUACAGUGUAUUUACAACAUUCUGUCACUCUGUGUAUUAGAAUAUAUUAUAGCAGAAGACAAAAAGUAAAAUGAAUGUGCUGUGAAAUGAGCUCUACAUGAAAUAAACAAUAUUUGUAGCUGUAAUGUAACUGUGAAAAACAAUCUCAAGAAAGGUGUUUUUUUUUUUUUUUUUUUAAAUGCUCAGCAGUAAAAGUUCCUUCAUGUGGAGACACAAGGACUAGACUCUUGUCUGCUCCUCUUUACAAUAAGAAGUGUUUUGCUACCAUCUGCUGGAUGAAUUACACAUUACAGUGUUAAACAGAUCUACAGACACAAAUGUCUUUGAUAUAAUAUCAGAUGAAUAUCUGGAAUAGAAACCAAUGUUUAUUUACAAAUCUUGUCUGAAGAGCCGUAAAUAGUUGUACACAAUUUGUCCAGUUAAUUUUAUAAUGUUUUAACAUAACGUUCAUUGUGCUCUUGGUUAGAACAUAAUGACAGUAGGGUUAAAAUACAUUUAAAUUAUGCACAUUUGUCCCAAGAAUUACUUUAAAAUGUUCAGUUUAUUAUAAUUUAUAUAACCAUAGUAAAUAUAAAUUAUUUGUGUGUAAAAUACAGUUUCAGUAAGUGAGCAGUCAGUGAUCAGAGCUUGUAUCUGCUGUGUUCAGGUUCAGGUUUGAUGCUGAAUAUAAGCUGCAGUGUUUCUGUAUCAAUCUGCUUUAAGUUUAGUGUGACUUUAUCUCCACACUGACUUCUGACUGACACGAGUCUGUCCUCAGUGAAGUGUCUCUUCACGCUGGAGGAGGAGUCCCGCUCAUCAGCGCUCACACUUUAUUGAUAUAUAUGGAGAAAAUCAAAAUGCUGCUUUCUGAUUUGUCACUGAUUGUGUUUGAUGAUUUCCUCUGUUGUGUCUAAUAAGGUAACAGUGAGUGUCAUUGGCAGCUGUGAGUCUCUCUCUCUCUUUGGGGGCUGACAGGAGCCAGUUUCUUCAGUGUGUUUGAGGAGCAGACGAGAAACUUGUGCUAACAGAGUUAAACACACGGUGUGACGAGCAGAAGAAGAUGGAGGGAUGUUUGACACUAGUUUUAUUCUGUUUCAUAUUAACUCUAACCACAUCUGAUUCUGUGAGGUUGGUUGGUGGUCACAGUCGCUGUGCUGGUUCGAGUGGAGGUUCUUCAUGAUGGUCAGUGGGGAACAGUUGUGAUGAUGACUGGGAUAUGACUGAAGCUGCAGUGGUGUGUAGAGAGCUUGGAUGUGGAGAGGCUGUACAAGCUCUGGGUGAUGCUCAUUUUGGAGAAGGAUCAGAUCCAGUCUGGAUGGAUGAUGUGGCCUGUAGUGGAUCAGAGUCAACACUGAAGAACUGUAGUUCAGGAGGAUGGGGUGAAAGUGACUGUGAUCAUGGUGAAGAUGCUGGAGUCAUCUGCUCAGAAGUCAGACUGGUUGGAGGUUCUCGCUGCUCUGGGAGGUUAGAGAUACUUCAUGAUC